rnacentral:pre_miRNA from 1 species
UAAAUACUCCCUCCGUUCCUAAAUAUUUGUCUUUCUAGACAUUUCAAAUGACUACUACAUACGGAUGUAUGUAGACAUAUUUUAGAGUGUAGAUUCACUCAUUUUGCUCCGUAUGUAGUCACUUGUUGAAAUGCCUAGAAAGACAAGUAUUUAGGAACGGAGGGAGUAUAUU